CGAGCAUCGCCGACCCUCUGUCCAUUAACCCUAGCAGCCGCCAUGAGCUCUCCAACACAAACCCUAGGUGCCGCGUCUCGUCGUCUGCUACUCGCUGCCACGCCGCCAGCGCCAUUAGCUGCAGCCCGCGCACCACCGGCGUCAGUGCCAUCACCGCAGCCUGCACUCGAUCUGGUCCACCCGCCAACUGCAGCACCUUCGACGGUCUCCACCAUGCUGUCGUCACUUUGUCUGCUCUCCAAUACCCAUAUCGGCGCCCCCGCGACUCGCACCGCUUGCGGCUGUGUUGGUAUGAAAUAUUUUGUGGUUGUAUAUCAUCAUUUGAUUCUAGUCCACAUUACACUUAGUAGAAUAUAUACAAUAAUUUUUAGAUGGGAAAGUGGAUAUUGAGGUACAAAUUGAUAUUUUCACAAGUCUCUAAAUUUAUUUUGGUCUAUGAAAUUCUCAUAUGAAACUAGUUUCUCCAUCACAGGCCAAAUCAUAAAUUAGUUAGGUCUAAGCAUCUAAGGGAAAAAGAAUUAGAACGACUUUUCUUGAGGCUUAUUUAACUGAAGCAUCACACAUCUGUGAAGAGAAAUGAUAAGCUUCUUUUUUUUUUUAUUGUUAAUGGCUUUAAUAAGUGAUUAUAGAUUGCACUUCCCUCUAAUAUAAGUUUCAGAAAUGGAAAACGCACACCUAAAACUAGCUAGAGCUGUCCUUAUAUGCUCUGUACCUCCUUCAGGAGAUAUGUUAUAUUCUUAACAAAAUUGUCUUAAUUUAUACGUAAAUCUUUAUUCUCAUGACUGAUGUAUUUUUUUCCAAUUUUCCCAAUGGCCUAGUGUGGCGGUAUCUAUUCUCCAAACCUAUUGUUGCAUUUAAGGUACUACAUCUUGUAAAGAAUGAAUAACUUCUUUAGAGCAAGAUUGUUUCCUAACUGUGAAAACUUAAACCAAUUACCCGGGGUACAUCUAAUUUGUGACAAUAUGAAACAGAUUAACAUGCAGUUUGGCAGCAAAAGCUUUACUGUCAUGACCUCCUGAAGGAACCAUAGUUUGACGUAUGAUCCAUUUGCUCGUGACCCAUUCCGGAUGCCAAACGAGUACAUACAAAAAUCACAAAUGCCUAUUGCAAGAGUUCAAAACUUACUUGCAAAUCCGACGAUCAAAGACUCCAGUGUUGAUCUUCCAACUUGUUCCCACGGUAGAGCAUGAUGUUGGGUGGCAACGUGCUUCAAGUCCUCUCCUUCAAAGUUGGCGUCUCCUCACUCUCACGAUCUGCUCUCACGUGUAUGAUUAAUUAAUUAGGUUUAGGGUUAUCUCUUAUUAUUUAUACUAGGUAUUAGACAUACCUAAAUGAUAAACACUCAUUUUGCAUGGUUUAUAUUAUGCGGUUUAAGUCGAUUUUACGCCUGUUUUAUUAUUGUUUGGAGUUCAUUGUAUAUUAUUUCAUGAUUUCACGGUCGGGUGUAGUUUUGGCAGUUUUGAUGCAUGGAUGAGUGGUAUUGGAACAUGGAGUGUAAGGAACGUGCUUAAGAGAAGAGUUUUGAGAGAAUCGAG
rnacentral:lncRNA from 1 species